rnacentral:sRNA from 1 species
CAGCUGCUAUGGGUUGGAUUAUGCUAUUAUGCAUAAGAAUGCUGAUAGGCGCACACACAAACCAUUUGUUCCUCAGUCCAUUUUCCUCCUCAAAAGCCUGUAACGUGCCAUUGAUCAGUGGGAGAUGUACCUGGACAGACCCAUGAAAAGAAAUCAACAAGUUCCACCUGAGGGACCCUAUUUUUCCUAAUUUCAUUUGAAAUGGCUUCUAAUUGUCCUUCUUUCAUUCCUGCUUCCUACCAGUUUUACAGCUUUUUCUGGUUUCAAAUGUGAACUCACAUACACUCUCAUUUUUCCUCAUAACAACCCCAAGUGACCCAAUGGUCCUCACUUUCGAUAUAAGUAAAGGAGGCUCUGCAUUAAGGGCUUGUCCAAGUCAUGCAGCUGAGAGGCGCUAGGACUGGCUCCAUUUCCAUCUCUAUUCUCACUGACUUUGACUACACAGAACCCCAACAUGUAGGGCCUCAGUAUUCGAUCAAUUAUUCUAUUAAGAAGCAAAAACAAUUCCCCGCAUUGGCCCCAGUUAUUAAGCAUUUCUCAGAUUUACCUUGAGAAAUGCCCAUAGGCCUAUAUAUUCACAUCUUCACCCUUGUCCCUUCCUCCUAGAAAGGAGAAAGUCAGUUGGAUGCCCUCUGAGGAACUAGUGCAUGGCUUAACUGUCCUUCCACGACUCCUGCCUUAUCUGUUUUCUAUUUUCCUCCUUUUCCACCGAAGUCUAUAAUCUCAAGAAAAUCUGGCACUGGCCUUAGGGCUCCUGGCCUAAGAAAUAUCAAGUCCGUAAGAAAUUCCAUUGACUGACCCCUCCUGCUUACCCCUUUGUGAUGGAGAAGCUCCCAGGGGUUUGCUUUUGGCACAUUACCAGCCUAACUCAGCAUCACCAGGAGCAAGAGAAGGAAAGUAACCUAAACUAAUGCUGCUUAUAAUUGUAAUUAUUAUAAUAGUUAAUUAUUGUGAUUGUACAUGUGUAACAGACAAAAGGUGUAUUUUUUUCACAGCUGCUGUGGAUUGGAUUAUGCCAUUUGGAAUAAGAAUGCUGUCAAGAGCACACAAGCCAGGUUCCUCAAGGAGAAGUGAAAUGACAACCUCACUAGAUACGGUUGAGACCUUUGGUACCACAUCCUACUAUGAUGACGUGGGCCUGCUCUGUGAAAAAGCCGAUACCAUAGCACUGAUGGCCCAGUUCGUGCCCCUGCUGUACUCCCUGGUGUUCAUUGUGGGCCUCUUGGGCAAUGUGGUGGUGGUGAUGAUCCUCAUAAAAUACAGGAGGCUCCGAAUUAUGACC